CACUGUACAGCUAUCCUAGCAUUAACCUUUUAAGUUAAAGAUGGGGGACACACCCUCUACAGUGA
rnacentral:tRNA from 2 species